rnacentral:lncRNA from 1 species
AAUGAAGAAUAUUUGUGACACAGAACUUUUUGUCUUUUGUGUUAUCGUAAUUACAAACGCAUACGUGUGUAUAACAUUGUUUACUCAACUGUGGCCUUGCGAGGUCGCGCACUGACGAUACCUCAAAGACUAAACGUCGAUCGAUACUCGUUAAUAAGUGCGAAGCGAUAAUGUUGAGAACGUGAUCAAUAAAACGCGUAGGUGUACGGCGCAGCUUGUGCAUUGGGUUGCGUACUUAUGUGACAAACGCAUAUUGCAUGCCCUAGUGGAGUCCGGCCACACUCGGCCCGAGGUGCCGAGGUGUCGCAACCCCGGCGUCUGCUGCUCAACUAUUCGAACCAGCUGACGCGACAUGGCGCCCGCGUCGGCAAACCUUUCAUGCUGCACUAUCGACUGCGCCGAUGAAUGAGACUAUGUACAGCCUUCCAUUUAUCGGCCAUGCGGGCUUCGUUGUUCAGGUAAAUAGAAAAUUAUUGCAAAAGUCGUAGUUGUUUGUCGUCUGAACAGCACGCAUAUCCAGUGCGUUAAUGGGCAAAUCCCCUCAGCUCGGGAAGGCCUUCUCCAGCAGUGAACGUUUUUAGGCUGUGACGGCGACGACAACCAACUUGGUGUCGGUUGCGGCGCACUGGCGUAAACUUGGCACUAACACUGCCGGUCGGCUGUCAACGUCGUCGUCACACGACACUCUCCAGGAUUUAAUGUCUUACAGCUCUGAAUAUGAGGUAACUUGUUGUAUAACUGUGUAAUAAUGUCAAUAACCCCCAAACUGCAAUGUAAAAACCUUGGUGAGCAAAUAUAGAGCGAUUGCGAAAGACUUGGCGAUCAGCCAUCGCGUCGUUUGGACGCCCCCCCUGAUAACACUGCACAGACAACUUCUUAAUCAUAACGGUUUAGUAUUUGAUUUGAUUAUCCAUAUAUAAACUAAGUAAACAAAUGUUCGAUGCC